rnacentral:rRNA from 1 species
GAAUAUUGGACAAUGGGCGAAAGCCUGAUCCAGCCAUGCCGCGUGUGUGAAGAAGGUCUUCGGAUUGUAAAGCACUUUAAGGUGGGAGGAAGGGCAGUAAGCGAAUACCUUGCUGUUUUGCCGUUACCGCCCGAAUAAGCACCGGCUAACUCUGUGCCAGCAGCCGCGGUAGUACAGAGGGUGCAAGCGUUAAUCGUAAUUCCUGGGCGUAAAGCGCGCGUAGGUGGUUCGUUAAGGUGGAUGUGAAAUCCGCGGGCUCCACCUGGGAACUGCAUCCAAAACUGGCGAGCUAGAGUAGGGCAGAGGGUGGUGGAAUUUCCUGUGUAGCGGUGAAAUGCGUAGAUAUAGGAAGGAACACCAGUGGCGAAGGCGACCACCUGGGCUCAUACUGACACUGAGGUGCGAAAGCGUGGGGAGCAAACAG